UACGAAGGGGGCUAGCGUUGCUCGGAAUUACUGGGCGUAAAGGGCGCGUAGGCGGAUACUUAAGUUGGGGGUGAAAGCCCGGGGCUCAACCUCGGAAUUGCCUUCAAUACUGGGUAUCUUGAGUUCGGGAGAGGUGAGUGGAAUGCCGAGUGUAGAGGUGAAAUUCGUAGAUAUUCGGCGGAACACCCGUAGCGAAGGCGGCACUCUGGGCCGGUACUGACGCUGAGGAGCGAAAGCGUGGGGAGCAAACAGG
rnacentral:rRNA from 1 species